rnacentral:rRNA from 1 species
UAUUAUGAGAGUUUGAUCCUGGCUCAGGACGAACGCUGGCGGCGUGCCUAAUACAUGCAAGUCGAACGCGUUCUGAUUACUCCCGAAAGGUGCUUGCACUCUUGAUUUAAUUGGAAAGAGGAGUGGCGGACGGGUGAGUAACACGUGGGUAACCUACCCAUAAGAGGGGGAUAACACUUGGAAACAGAUGCUAAUACCGCAUAACAGUUUAUGCCGCAUGGUCAUAAGAGUGAAAGAUGGCGCUUUCGGGUGUCGCUUAUGGAUGGACCCGCGGCGUAUUAGCUAGUUGGUGAGGUAACGGCUCACCAAGGCAAUGAUACGUAGCCGAACUGAGAGGGUGAUCGGCCACACUGGGACUGAGACACGGCCCAAACUCCUACGGGAGGCAGCAGUAGGGAAUCUUCCACAAUGGACGCAAGUCUGACGGAGCAACGCCGCGUGAGUGAAGAAGGCUUUCGGGUCGUAAAACUCUGUUGUUGGAGAAGAAUAAGGUCGGCAGAGUAACUGUUCGUCGGCGUGACGGUAUCCAACCAGAAAGCCACGGCUAACUACGUGCCAGCAGCCGCGGUAAUACGUAGGUGGCAAGCGUUAUCCGGAUUUAUUGGGCGUAAAGCGAGCGCAGGCGGUUUUUUAAGUCUGAUGUGAAAGCCCUCGGCUUAACCGAGGAAGUGCAUCGGAAACUGGGAAACUUGAGUGCAGAAGAGGACAGUGGAACUCCAUGUGUAGCGGUGAAAUGCGUAGAUAUAUGGAAGAACACCAGUGGCGAAGGCGGCUGUCUGGUCUGUAACUGACGCUGAGGCUCGAAAGCGUGGGUAGCGAACAGGAUUAGAUACCCUGGUAGUCCAUGCCGUAAACGAUGAAUGCUAGGUGUUGGAGGGUUUCCGCCCUUCAGUGCCGCAGCUAACGCAUUAAGCAUUCCGCCUGGGGAGUACGACCGCAAGGUUGAAACUCAAAGGAAUUGACGGGGGCCCGCACAAGCGGUGGAGCAUGUGGUUUAAUUCGAAGCAACGCGAAGAACCUUACCAGGUCUUGACAUCUUUUGAUCACCUGAGAGAUAGAGCUUUCCCCUUCGGGGGCAAAAUGACAGGUGGUGCAUGGUUGUCGUCAGCUCGUGUCGUGAGAUGUUGGGUUAAGUCCCGCAACGAGCGCAACCCUUAUGACUAGUUGCCAGCAUUUAGUUGGGCACUCUAGUGAGACUGCCGGUGACAAACCGGAGGAAGGUGGGGAUGACGUCAAAUCAUCAUGCCCCUUAUGACCUGGGCUACACACGUGCUACAAUGGGUGGUACAACGAGUUGCGAGACCGCGAGGUCAUGCUAAUCUCUUAAAGCUUCUCUCAGUUCGGACUGUAGGCUGCAACUCGCCUACACGAAGUCGGAAUCGCUAGUAAUCGCGGAUCAGCACGCCGCGGUGAAUACGUUCCCGGGCCUUGUACACACCGCCCGUCACACCACGAGAGUUUGUAACACCCGAAGUCGGUGAGGUAACCUUUUUGGAGCCAGCCGCCUAAGGUGGGAUAGAUGAUUGGGGUGAAGUCGUAACAAGGUAGCCGUAUCGGAAGGUGCGGCUGGAUCACCUCCUUU